rnacentral:lncRNA from 1 species
UUCUAGACAUAGCCGGAGCCCAAUUUUUUUUGUGUUUGUUGAUGUUUUUUAAACAAUUAUGGUCUGUAACUUCGAACAAUAGGUUUAGGGUUGAGGAUCCAGGAUCCUUCAGACAAUAGGUAGGAUUACACAUGGUGGAGGGAUCCUCUGUUUGGGGGAUGAAGCCAUUGUGAUCCUGCCGCCUUUUAAUUUCCUGCAUGCUAUGACCGCACAAACAAUGGACACCCUUUGCCAUCCCAUGUGGACGGGCCACGUUUUGCUGAAAUGUGGGUUGGCAAUUUUGACAACUUUUUGAAAGGGUUAAUGAUCCUUUUGUUUAAUAAUA